rnacentral:rRNA from 1 species
GGGCUCACCUCUUCCCAUCCCGAACAGAGAAGUUAAGCCCGCCUGCGCAGAUGGUACUGCAUCAUUGUGGGAGAGUAUGUCGUCGCCUUUC